rnacentral:rRNA from 1 species
GGCGGGGACCUGUUGAGGGCCCGUCACCUUUGGAUAAGCCCGCGUCCUAUCAGCUUGUUGGUGAGGUAACGGCUCACCAAGGCAUUUGACGGGUAGCUGGUCUGAGAGGAUGGUCAGCCACACUGGGACUGAGACACUGCCCAGACUCCUACGGGAGGCUGCAGUCGAGAAUCUUUCGCAAUGGGGGAAACCCUGACGAAGCGACGCCGCGUGAGCGAUGAAGGCCUUCGGGUUGUAAAGCUCUGUCACGCAAGACGAUUACCCGCGAUCUAACAGAUCAAGGGAAGGACUGUACUGCGAGAGGAAGCCACGGCUAACUCCGUGCCAGCAGCCGCGGUAAUACGGAGGUGGCAAGCGUUGUUCGGAUUCAUUGGGUGUAAAGGGCAUGUAGGCGGCUCUAUAAGUCGGACGUGAAAUCCCUUGGCUUAACCAAGGAACUGCGUCCGAUACUGUAAGGCUUUGAGUGCAGGAGAGGAGAACGGAAUUCCCGGUGUAAGAGUGAAAUCUGUAGAGAUCGGGAGGAACACCAGUGGCGAAGGCGGUUCUCUGGACUGCAACUGACGCUGAAAUGCGAAAGCUAGGGGAGCAAACAGGAUUAGAUACCCUGGUAGUCCUAGCUGUAAACGAUGGGUACUAGGUGUAGGCAUGAAAGUGACUGUGCCGCAGUUAACACGUUAAGUACCCCACCUGGGGACUACGACCGCAAGGUUAAAACUCAAAGGAAUUGACGGGGACCCGCACAAGCGGUGGAGCAUGUGGUUUAAUACGACGCUACGCGUGGAACCUUACCAGGACUUGACAUGUACUUGAAAGCUUGCCGAAAGGUGAGCCCUCCCUCAAGGACAGGUACACAGGUGUUGCAUGGCUGUCGUCAGCUCGUGUCGUGAGAUGUUGGGUUAAGUCCCGCAACGAGCGCAACCAUUGUCUUUAGUUGCCACUCUUGAGGCGCAAGCCGAAGGAAGCACUCUAGAGAGACUGCCUGUGUUUAACAGGAGGAAGGUGGAGAUGACGUCAAGUCAGUAUGGCCCUUACGUCCUGGGCUACACACGUGCUACAAUGGCCUGUACAAAGGGAAGCAAGACCGCAAGGUGGAGCAAAUCUCAAAAAAACAGGCCCCAGUUCAGAUUGUUGGCUGCAAUUCGCCAACAUGAAGUUGGAAUCGCUAGUAACCGCACAUCAGCCACGGUGCGGUGAAUACGUUCCCGGGUCUUGUACACACCGCCCGUCAAGCCACCUGAGUUAAGUGCACCCGAAGCCGUCAUACCAACCCGCAAGGGAGGAAGACGCCUACGGUGUGCUUGGCGAGGAGGGCUAAGUCGUAACAAGGUA